AACGAACGCUGGCGGCGUGGAUAAGACAUGCAAGUCGAACGGAGUAGUGAGGUAGCAAUAUCUCGCUGCUUAGUGGCGAACGGGUGAGUAACACGUGAGCAACCUGCCUGGAAGUGGGGGAUAGCCCGGGGAAACUCGGAUUAAUACCGCGUGUGGUCCUGCAAGACAUCUUGUGGCGACUAAAGGUUGCGAAAGCUGCCACUUCCAGAUGGGCUCGCGGCCUAUCAGCUUGUUGGUGAGGUAAUGGCUCACCAAGGCGACGACGGGUGACUGGUCUGAGAGGAUGAUCAGUCACACUGGAACUGAGACACGGUCCAGACACCUACGGGUGGCAGCAGUCGAGGAUCAUUCGCAAUGGGCGAAAGCCUGACGGUGCGACGCCGCGUGGAGGAUGACGGCCUUCGGGUUGUAAACUCCUGUCAUCAGAGAGUAAGGCUCUCGCGAGUAACUGCGCGGGAGAUUGAUAGUAUCUGAAGAGGAAGGGACGGCUAACUUCGUGCCAGCAGCCGCGGUAAAAC
rnacentral:rRNA from 1 species